GUAAGUUUCUCACCAGCAGCCAGGAGCUUGUGACAAUCACUGAGAUACUCAAACACAGUGUUCAGAACCCUGGUAUAAGAUCAGCCCUUCCUGUAGUGAAGCUAUCCAUCAGGUUCUGAGGGCCAAAUUAUGAUAAGGACGGAACCCACAGGUUUCCACUACCCCUUCCUCACAGUGAGUCUCAACAAUGAGAAACAGAGCAGCUACAAAGACUAUAGGAAUACUUAAUAAAUAGCUUUCAACAGAUUAUUAACAUUUCAAAGUUAGUUUACAGUGGAAAUUUAUUUGUUCUGAUACAGCACCCAGCAAGGUUUGUUCCUUAGAAGACAUUUAUCCAACAAAAGUGUCAGAAAUUAGACAAUCCCAAAUGUCACCUUUUCUGUGGUUGUUGUUAUCCUCCAAAGCCAUUCACUUUUACAGGCAGUCCCAUGAGUAAAGGGAAAUUUUGUUCCAAACAAGAAAUAACCACAGGCUAAUGCUUUAUAAAUAAUUACAAUUCCCGUUCUUUCUCUUUCCCUCAAAGGCAUGCAGGAUUUGAUAUAAGUUUGUCCGUGUAGCAGAACACCAGAAGUAAUUACAAAACAUAAAUGAGGCUUAUCCAUUCAUCUCAGCUACUUUGUCAGACUGUGUAGACAGCAGGCAUUUUGUCACACAUUACAAGAUCAAGUUUUGUAGCUUACUUUCUUCGUGCACCUACAAAAUCAAGUUAACUUAAGCUAUAAUGAAGCUCCCUGGGUUCCUCUCUAACAAUCACUUCUAAAGUACAACUCUUCAGUUUUUCUUACCAAAAAAAAAGAAAAAAAAAAAAAAAAAAGAGGAUGAUGUGAGAGAGGAAGAGGAUUGUGUAAUUGUAGGCAAGUUGCCCUCUUGACAGGAACUAAGCAAAACUACACUGAAUAGGGCUCAGUGACCAUAAAGCAACAGGCGUUCAUAGUGUUUUGGCUCCUCUGACUUGAUGCUGUAGAGCAGAAAUAAAUGAAUAGAGUUGGUUUCAGAGGUAAGUCAUAACAUCUAAUAGUGUGACUGCAGGUCUCACCAACUCGGGCACACACAGAACCCUCUAAAAAUUACUACAUUGCUUCUACAGCCAAGUUUAACACCUACAUAUAUGCUUUUCAGCAAGAAGCACAGAUCAAUUUUUGUUACUUCGUCCAAGAUGGCAAAUCUAGAUGACGUAUAAAGAGCUUCAGUUCUGGUUGUAAGGAAUAUUUCUGUUUUCAUUGAUUCUGGGACAGAUAAAAGAUAGCAGUAAAAGAGAUCUUUGCCUCCAGGGUUUCAGAAGAUGCUUGAGAUGGCCAAGUUUAAUGAUAUUUCUCAAAACUUCACCAAGCCACUUUGGAAGCCUUUCAUUCAGAAUUAUCUGUAGGUUACUGUUGGUAAUACAUUGAUUUCAUUAGUUACUUUACAAAUCCUUAACUUUCACUAUCUUUAUAUUUACUGACAUGUGAAUACCAAAAUCUUUUAGGUAUCUCCUUCUACCUUUUCCUAGUAGUGAAAAUUUUGCUUUCUACUUUUUUUUUUUUUUUUUUGUAUGACUUUUUUCUUUCUUUCUUUGAAAGACCAUUUUAAAAGAAGGGUUCAAUAUAACGUAUUUAUUAGAAAAUGAAAACCCUUGUGGGCUUUUGAAGCACCCUGAGUGCCCUGUGGAGUUUAGAGAAUUGCAUCUUCUGUAGAAUGCUGCAGGAAGUCUCAAGGGUACUGCAGAAGGAUAUUCAUAACUCUUCAGAGGUUUCAAUAGCAAUUUUCAGUAGAAUCUUUUCAAUGCAUCCGUAAUUCUCUUAUAACUUUAAUAAGGCCUCCUGGGACAAUCCUAAUGCAUUCUGGUUUUGAGUGCUCCAUUUGCUUGGAAGUUUAUGGUCUAAAGACUGAAUUGUUACACAUCCAAGACUCUUAUUUUUAUGCUAUUUGGGCAAUAUCAGUGUGCCUUAGCAUGAGUACAUAGGCUAAAAAAUGGAAAUUAAGUACUACUAUUUGUGUGAGCUCUUUUUGUCUGUGGGAUUGGAUUGAAGAUAAGACUUAAUUGUAUGAAACCACUUCUCGGGUUUUGGUGGAUGUGGUGUUGGACUAAUUCAAGAAGGAAAGGUUCCUUUUCAGUUUUUACACCUUUGAAUAAUUUCUGUAAACCUAUAUUGGCUGCUUCUUGUCCUUCACAUUUUCUUUGUUUGUCCAUUUUUAAGUAACCAGACAGGCACACUGUUACAGUUCAAUUUGUUCUUCAAUAUUGAUUUUCUAGUCUGACAUAUGAUUUAUUCCCAUGGGUGUUUGCAGUGACAGAUCUUUGAAGCCUGGAGUUCUUGAUAAAAGAAAAUGUGCUAUUUCCUUCAGCCACACUGUCUGGAAGCCAAAGAGGGCAAGGCAGGCCAGGCCACCUGAGCCGCUCACCCUGGAGAUGAAGGCUCUGCUUACAAGACCAGUUAAUGAAUAGAACUCAAGUCCAUUGUGUAUGUCUUAAUUAGAUUCAGAAUAUCUGAAUUUACCAUUGUCAGCACGAGACAGCACUAAACAGCAGCUAGUGGCUCCAGCCAUUGAGGAUUAGAAGUGGAGGAUGCUGGCAAGUCCUUCAUGAGACUGCAAAAACUGCUAUGAACUGGUUGGAACACCUCUCCUAUGAAGAAAAACUGAGAAAGCUGAGACAGCCUGGAGAAGGCUCAAGGGGAUCGCAUCAGUGUGCACAACUGCUUGAAGGGAGGAUGCAAAGAAGACAGAGCCAGGCUCUUUCCAGUGCUUCCCAGUGGCAGGACAAGAGGCAAUGGGCACAAACUGAAACACAAGGGGUUUCCUCUAAACAUCAGGAAGCACUUCUGUACUGUGCAGGUAAUGGAGCACUGGCACAGAUUGCCCAGAGAGGCUGUGGAGGCUCCUCCUUGGAGAUCUUCAAAAGCCGCCUGGAUGUGGGCCGGGACAAUCUGCUUGAGCAGGGAUUGGGCCAAAUGGACCCAGAGGUUCCCUUCAGCCUCAACCCUUCUGUGAUCUUGUGUUUACUUUCAUUAUUACUAGCUGACAAGUAGUGCUUCUAAAUGCCUUAAAAAGUUGAGGAAAUUUCACAAGAUUUUAUUUAUUUGUUUGUUUGUUUGUUUCUUUUGCUGUCUUUGCAUGGCAAAGACUUUCCUUUACUGGUAUUCUGACAAGAGAAAGUUCAGGCUCAAGCUGCUGGAUGUAUGUUUAUAUUGUCUUCUCAAUUUGUUUCCUGUGUUUAACUGUAGUGAGAGUUUUUUGAGGAUAGAGGGGUCUGAUCAUCACUUACUUUAAAUUGUAUAGUGCCAUUACUGCCCUAUAUCUGCUCCCUAGAGUCUUAGUACUAAACUGAAAUGUACUUAUUUGCAGCCAUGCUAGAUUCCAUUGUCAUAUCUUAAUGUAGGAUAAUACUGUAAUUCAUUAAUAUUAUGUUCUUUAAUGAGGCCUGUGACUCUGUGUUUUUAUAUAGGAAUUUGCACUUGUGAUUUUCUUUGCUAAUUUAAGUACAUUGUCCACCAUCAACUUAAAAUCUAGUAUCAAUUUAAAAUUAGGAAAUGAUGAGUCCUGUGAGAAACAUCCCUUGCUUGUUAUUCUCUCAGGAUUACAGUGUGUGAGAAGUGUUCCAUGCUGCUUUUUAAUUCCUGUUUGUUAUUGAUUGUUUUUAGUUUGCAGUUUUACUUUUUGGUUCUCUGAAAAGUUCAAAGCUCGUAACUGGUAACAAAUGGGGCAAAACUAUUUAAACUUUCAUGUCAGAAAUUACACAAAAAGCCAAACGCAAGUGCUCUUAAAGUUUUGUUUACUUCUCAUGCCCCAUAUUAAUUGCACAGAUUCUCCUAUUGCCUCAUGAAGAACCGGAUCCUGGUUACAGCUGGGCAUUCAUUAGCAAGCAGAUCACACACACAGCUGUACAAUAUAUACAGACCUGAACUACAGUCUCCUCAACUGGUGAACACCCACCUCUGCCACUGAGCUCUGUGGAAAAUGAAAUCUAAAUUCAAGAUCAUAGAGGAACUUGAAGAAGGCAGAGACCAGUCAGGAAAGAUAAAAGCAACUGGAUUAUCGUAUUGGCAUUUUUUGGAACGUUGAUUUUGGCUGGUUAAUUUUCAGAUAAUUAAAGAUGUAGUCAGGUCUAGGGAUUUUAACAAGGCCAAGAAUUGGCCAAUGUUAGUGCCUUUCUCACAGCAUGAGUCCUUGGGCAUACCUCCUGUUGAUACAAACAAGCAAUUGAUCCUGAGCAACCAGAAACACUUAACAACUGAUAACAGUUGCUUAUCUGGUACUAUCAUCUGAGUUUCUCAGUUUCCAUUGCAAGCAAAUUUGGAGCUUUGUGGUACUGAUAGCAUUGUAGAACCGUUCUACAGCACGCCAUCCUUGCAGUAGAUUUGUUGAAAACCAUCUACCAGCUGAUAGGAAUCAACUGUUUGUUUUGAGAUUGUUUCAGGGAAGAAGUUUUUAUUAGCAAAACUGACUACAGCCAACCUCAUUUUCUCUCUCUGGCAGCUUGUUCCUAGCCACAACUUAGAGCUUGUCUUGGAAAUAUUAAUGCAGUUGAAUUUUGCAGUCGUGGCUGCAUAGUGAAACCAAGGAAAGAUCUCACUUCUGGUGCAGUCUUGUCAAUAUCUAACAGCUACAAUGAUCGUUUAUCAAUAAAAAGGAAAGUUUGAAAGAUGUGUGAUGUUAGAAGGUUAAUGAUGUGAGACUCAAGGAUGCAGACUGUAAUCUCGUUAGUAUGCUAUUAUGGCAAUACACAUUCAUAAUUCAGAGGUUUGAUAUACUUGGUGUUGAUUAAAAGAAUUAAUCCAGCCAGCUCACUGAGGGCAAUGUGCUAGCUGGCAGGCACUGGUAAACAACAAGGCAGAGCAGUGUAAUCACCUGUAAGGAUAAAUACAGGUGACGCAUUCACAAUAGUAGAAAGUAGAUGCCAGGCAGGCAGCAAACACUGCCAUUGCCUAUUUCUGGCCUGCUUGGACAAGCUGUGGGGAGGAGGAUCCACACUAGCAUUUGGAAGGGCAAAGAAAUCAAAGGACCAGGGACUCCCCAGUGAAGGAAGAGACAUUUCAACAGCAAAAGAAAAGAAAGGUUUGACAGGCAUGGAAAGUAUUGGUGAGAGAACCUUUAAUUGGAGGAGGGAAGGAAGAGUCAAAAGAAGCUGAAAGCUACAGCGUUAAAAUAAAGCAAGAGCAAUCCAAACCAGAAAGAUGUGACACUGGGAGAAAGGUCUUUUCAUAGACCAGAGUAUAGAAAUGCUUAAUAUCAGUGAAGCCAAACAUUUAGUAUGUAUCAUCACGCGCAACGCUUAUGAAAAAAAAAAAAAACUUAAUUAACUUUCCUGUGUUCCAUUCUGGUUCUCUGUUUCUCCUUGUAAUCAAACACGGAUUAACUAAUGAAGAAUAUAUAGCCUGCAAGAUAUUUCUUCUGCAAACAAUACAUUCCAUUUUGAUUCAUUAAUGGCUUUUGGAUGUACUGAAGUUUAUCGGCAGAUUUACUUUUGGUCCCCAACACUGGCUUGCACUGUUGCAGGUAAAUUAUAUUCUAACAACAGACUUUUUUCAAAAAGAAAACUUUCCAGCAGUGUGGCAGCUGUACAAAAGCCCUUGUAUUUUAUUGUCAAACUAGACAUGGUAAGAACGUAACAGCAGUGAAAUAGAGGAUGUUAGCAC
ensembl:lncRNA